rnacentral:rRNA from 1 species
GAUGAACGCUGGCGGCGUGCCUAAUACAUGCAAGUCGAGCGAACGGACGAGAAGCUUUCUUUUCUGAUGUUAGCGGCGGACGGGUGAGUAACACGUGGAUAACCUACCUAUAAGACUGGGAUAACUUCGGGAAACCGGAGCUAAUACCGGAUAAUAUUUUGAACCGCAUGGUUCAAAAGUGAAAGACGGUCUUGCUGUCACUUAUAGAUGGAUCCGCGCUGCUUUAGCUAGUUGGUAAGGUAACGGCUUACCAAGGCAACGAUGCAUAGCCGACCUGAGAGGGUGAUCGGCCACACUGGAACUGAGACACGGUCCAGACUCCUACGGGAGGCAGCAGUAGGGAAUCUUCCGCAAUGGGCGAAAGCCUGACGGAGCAACGCCGCGUGAGUGAUGAAGGUCUUCGGAUCGUAAAACUCUGUUAUUAGGGAAGAACAUAUGUGUAAGUAACUGUGCACAUCUUGACGGUACCUAAUCAGAAAGCCACGGCUAACUACGUG